rnacentral:sRNA from 1 species
AUAUCUCUCUGUACGGGAAGGAUGAGAAGCUUCGACCAAGGUUCGAUUCGAACGCAGCGAGAAAGCGUUGCCGCAGGCAACGACCCGAAGGGCGAAGCGC